rnacentral:rRNA from 1 species
AAUCAACGCUGGCGGCGUGCCUCAGACAUGCAAGUCGAACGCGAAAGUCCCCUUCGGGGGACAAGUAGAGUGGCGCACGGGUGAGUAACACGUAGGUAAUCUACCUUCGGAUGGGGAAUAACAAUCGGAAACGGUUGCUAAUACCGCAUAAUGCAGCGGCACCUAAUGGUGACAGUUGUUAAAGCGGGGGAUCGAAAGACCUCGCGUCUGAAGAGGAGCCUGCGGCGGAUUAGCAGUUGGUAAGGUAAUAGCUUACCAAGGCGACGAUCCGUAACCGGCCUGAGAGGGCGGUCGGUCACACUGACACUGACAUACGGGUCAGACUCCUACGGGAGGCAGCAGUCGGGAAUAUUGGACAAUGGGUGCAAGCCUGAUCCAGCCAUGCCGCGUGCAGGAA